rnacentral:sRNA from 1 species
GCUGGGCAUGGUGGCACAUACCUGUAAUCCUAGCUGCUUGGAAGGCAGAGGCAGGAGGAUUGUGAGUUGAAAGCCAGCCUUAGCAAUUUAUCGAGGCACUAAGCAACGCAGUGAGAUUCUGUCUCUA